UUUAAUGCAAGCCUGUCGAUUUUGUAUUGUUUUGUAUUACUAUGUGCAAAGCCUUUUUGUCCUGACCACUCUCAGGAUCAAGCAGCAGGAGAGGAUUUCCCUGCUGACGGCUCCAAGCAUCCAGGUAUCCUUACGCAGGACAAGGCUGAGAGGACGACUGCAUUGCAUCGCUGGGGUGCUGGCAGUUAUUUUGGUCCUUGUGAGACAGCUGAACAUCCAGUCAUUCCUCCUUCCCCUCCAAAAAAACCCGAUGCCAGCUUCUAAGCCAAACCAUGGAAAUGUCCUCAGAGCCUGAUGGGCUCUCUGAGCCAUGCCUGGAGCCAGGCAGGGUGUGCUGCCCUGCCAGAAACAUGCCGUCCCACCAGCUGCUCAGCAUCUCACCUGCUGCUGAGGCACCCCAGACGUACGAGCCCCAAAUGAGCCAGUCAAGAGACUGAACAUCCAAAACUACCUAUGAAUUCUUUGCUUGAAGUUAUCCAAAAGAGAUGAAACUCUGCUGUCAGUCGGCAUUUUACUGUAAUACUGAGGUCCAGUAAGAGGACAGGCACCCAGGAGACCUGGCUUUAUUUCUGGCUCUGCCAUUCAAAUUCUGCGUGGCCUUGGGCAAGUCCUCUCCCUUGUCCCUGCCUUCCCUUGUCCACACACCCCUCUUCUGAACUGCGUAAUGGCAGUAGAGAUGACUUAUUGCAGUGCCAUGUCUGGUUGGAUCUACUGAAGUAAAUAAACAAUAAAGGCAGAAUGGCAUAAUUUUUAAAAAAAAAUUCUGCUUGGCAAGAUCUUGUGUAAACUAGACAAGGAGAAAAAUGUGGUAUGUUGAGGUUUCUCUAAUUCUAGUCUCUGCUUACUUUUGGUGGAAAGGGGAGUCUCACUAGCUGGAGAACACAAACAAUAGUAGGUGGCGAGUCCCAACCUACCAAUGCAACUACAGGAUUAAUUAGGAAUGGUCUGAAACCCAAGCAGGGAGUCAAAAAUAAACCCAGCUUAUCUUUUCACUUGCUUUAGACAGUAAGAGUAGUCUGCGGAGUCAUCCGGAGAUGUCCUGGAGCAGAAAGCAGUUUCCUUUUGGGUCUGCUUAGUUUUGACAUCCAGAGUGGGGAAGCACUCAGCCAUUUGUAAGUGUAGAAGCAAGUGUCUUUGAAACACUGACAUUUUAGGGUAGGCUGAGUGUCUGCAAUGAAAUCCCAGAUGCAGUGCAGUUGGUGGGUGGCGUCAGACAAAUUUUAAUGGGCUUCGUAGUAGGGCCCAAGCAUAUCCCAAAGAACAGGAGAAGUAAGCUUUGGUUUAGCCAAAUAUCUAAGCAUGUACUUAACCAUUGAAAAUAAUGAGAAUUAAGCAUAUACUUGAGUCAUCUGCUGACCUGUAUCUUAAAUACUGAGUAACAAAUACUGACCUGCAGAGACUCUGCAUAAAACAGGGAUAUGCCUUUUAUAUGCCCAAGAGGGACACACCAUUUAAAAUAGCAGAUUUCUUUGAUUUUCUAGUGACAUAGCAAAAGCAGAAUUUGGCCCUGUGCUCCUUGGAAGAAGGAAAUUUUAAAUUAUUAUCAACUGCAGCUUCUCACUGCAACAUUUUGCAUGAUGCAGGUUAAUGGCUGGCUGCUAGAAAAGAGGACUUCUCUGUUUCUGUCUAACAGGAUUUUUGGCAUCCUGCUCAUUAGAAGGGUUAUUUUCUUUAACCAUAUUGCUGUAGGAAUGCAUUUUUUAAGAUUCCUGCUGCAUUGACACAACCUUCAUAUCUUUUCAGCUUAUAGUUUCUGGAAUUCUUUUUCUCCCGAUAAGAAGUGAUGUUGCUGGGUGUGCUUUUUCUAACAAGCCUUGAUGGAAGAUCAAGGAAGAAAAGCUAAUAUAUCUGAUGGCUUGAUAAUUUCAGGGUCAAACCAGAUUUUAAGUGGUGGUUUUCUUGCACUUGCUGCUGAAUCUGUUUGACCAAGCAGCUGGUGUGUGAGAUCUAGACGGCAGCACAUAGAACACAUUAGGAAAACAGAGAGAAUGUGAGAUUAAACUGAAAAGAGGGAAGAACAGCAUUUCCUCACCGUUCUACA